rnacentral:rRNA from 1 species
AUUGAACGCUGGCGGCAGGCUUAACACAUGCAAGUCGAGCGAGCGGCGGACGGGUGAGUAAUGUCUGGGAAACUGCCUGAUGGAGGGGGAUAACUACUGGAAACGGCAGCUAAUACCGCAUACAAUCAGAUGUGCCCAGAUGGGAUUAGCUAGUAGGUGGGCUAAUGGCGCACCUAGGCGACGAUCCCUAGCUGGUCUGAGAGGAUGACCAGCCCCACUGGAACUGAGACACGGACCAGACUCCUCCGGGAGGCAGCAGUCGGGAAUAUUGAACAAUGGACGCAAGCCUGAUGCAGCAAUGCCGCGUGUGUGAAGAAGGCCUUCGGGUUGUAAAGCACUUUCAGCGAGGAGGCGUUACUCGCAGAUGAAGCACCGGCUAACUCCGUGCCAGCAGCCGCGGUAAUAC